rnacentral:misc_RNA from 1 species
GAAAUGUGAUAAGUAAUGUGAAUUGCAGAAUUCAGUGAAUCAUCGAAUCUUUGAACGCACCUUGCGCUCCCUGGUAUUCCGGGGAGCAUGUCUGUUUGAGUGUCAUGAACCCUUCAACCCACCGGUUUCAUUAUUGAAUCCGUGUUGGUGUUUGGAUUUUGAGUGUUGCUAUUGUGUUUGCACUUGCGUGCUUACUCUUGAAUAGCUCACUUGUAAUACAUUAGCAUCUCUAAUUCAAUGUCGGAUUGACUCAGUGUAAUAGACUACAUUCCGCUGAGGAUCACUUGGGAACGAGUGUGCCGAAUUUUAUCGAUUGAUGCUUCCAAUUGUAAUAGUCAAAUUUUUCAUUAUUAGACCUCAGAUCAGGCAGGAUUACCCGCUGAACUUAA